UGGGGAAUAUUGCACAAUGGGCGAAAGCCUGAUGCAGCGACGCUGCGUGAGGGAUGACGGCCUUCGGGUUGUAAACCUCUUUCAGUAGGGACGAAGCGCAAGUGACGGUACCUGCCGAAGAAGCACCGGCUAACUACGUGCCAGCAGCCGCGGUAAUACGUAGGGUGCGAGCGUUGUCCGGAAUUACUGGGCGUAAAGAGCUCGUAGGCGGUUUGUCACGUCGUCUGUGAAAUCCUAGGGCUUAACCCUGGACGUGCAGGCGAUACGGGCUGACUUGAGUACUACAGGGGAGACUGGAAUUUCUGGUGUAGCGGUGGAAUGCACAGAUAUCAGGAAGAACACCGAUGGCGAAGGCAGGUCUCUGGGUAGUAACUGACGCUGAGGAGCGAAAGCAUGGGGAGCGAACAGG
rnacentral:rRNA from 1 species